GUAAAGAUCUUCUUCAGCAGAAGAGUGACAGAGGAGCAGCUUAGGUACCCCCCUCCCAUGACAGCUAUGGAAAGGCUCCCUUUAGGACUGUUCUCUGCAUCUCAGGCAUGGUUAUCUGAGGACAUAACCAGCAAGCAGUCAAGCAAGGAGCUGAACCUUGAGGAAGCCCAUCAAGAUCACAAGUCAUUGUUAAAUAAUAUUUAUUUUGAAAAAGAAAAAAAAGGACCUUAGCAUUGUAAGCUGUAACUGCCUCCUUGGAAAUAGGAGAAAUGCUGAAAUCCAAAGCACAGCAAAGCUGAGGGUUGUAGACUUGCUACCUUCAACUGUUUUUGAAUUAAACUGCCUGGUGAUCCCAAUCAUAAUAUCUACAACCACCGUUCAGGGGAAAAUCAGAACAAAUGAAGUCAGACCAUUUACAGCAAUUCAGAACCCACAUAUGCUCAGACAUUUCCGUUCCAUCUCCACUUUUCUCCAGUGACAACAUUUGGGGUGAUUUCUUAAGAUCUCUACCUACAGCACUGGUACAAGUUCCACAAUGAUGUCAUUGGCACUGAACAGCCAACGGAAAUGAGCAGUUAAUUAUCUUAUAAAAGAAAUUUUGUCUUCAGUAGAGCUGCUUGAUUUAUCCAACAAAAUUGAAAAAAGAGAAAAAAUACAUUCUCAUAUCACUAGGCCGGGGUUGCUAGUACAAGCUAAAGUGAUCAAGGCCAGUAACAUGACUGUCUUUGAAAGUAAACCAAUCCUCAUAAAAGCAUCACUUGUGCAUCUUUUUUUUUUUUUGUGCUCACUUCAGAAAUGAGCAAAAUUCAGAGGGGAAGGAACUAAUAGUAUCUAAUCCUGUGUCCCCCUUUUUUUUCCUUUAUGUUCAUUUUCCAGCAGGGGAAGCAAGCUGACCAAGGGGCUAACAGGAUACAAGUUCCUUGCUCUAAAUUCUGGGAAAGGAGUUAAGUGAGUGAGAUGUCACUACCCUCUUCAUAUUCAACCACUGAGUGCUCUUGGGAUCACCUGUGGUCUGGACCAGUUUGUUUUUCAGUUUGUUUGUUUGCUAUAUUUGAAAAUAUAUGAAUGAGCAAGAAUUUAUUAUAAAGGCCAUACCUCAGGCUUUCUGCUAAAAUGUAAGUCAGCAGAAGACAAAAAGCUGUCUUAUUAUCACUUGUUUAAGACAGUGUAAGAAGUAAAUUGGAUUGUGGAAAAAAAAAACUCACGAAACUAACCUAAAUGGGUACUUUUUCCAUUGACUAUUGUAUUUCAUUGCCUUGUUUUUAAGUAAGUGAGCUCAAAGCAAUAUGUUUCCAGAAAGACCAGUCUGUCAGUACUGAUCAGUGAACACCCUAGGAGGUUCAUCUUUUGGUCACAUGAGAAAACAAACAAUAUCAUUAUGAUAAAGCUUCCUUGUAGGUCAAGGACAUAUAAAAGUACACUGACUAUAUAUUGCUGUAGACUGGUAACAAAAGCAAUCAUAGUAAUGACACAUGCAUUACUACCAAAUGCUGAAGACAAGAUGGAAGAGAUGGCAGGGUGUGUUUGUUGUGUUUCUCUGAAGGGGUAUAAUGAAGAUAACACAGGUUAAAAGGUGUUUCUCAAACUGUAAGAGUCAUACAUCUUUUAAGCAACAGACUAUCAAGUGUGCAACUCUUGAAAUAUGUGAGGAACAAAGCACAGUAUCAAAACUGCCAUUACUGUCCUGCUGCAUCAGCCAACUCGUAAAUCUAACAGCAAGAAGGAAACUAUUGCGAUCAGCUGAGGUCAGUAAGAGCUCCAUCAUUUGUUUAAAGAUGUACCUACCAAGUAGUAGGAGGAAAUUACUAACGCUAUUUGGAUCUAUUCACUAAUAAAAGACAGCAGUACUGAAAAGAAAUGAGGGUUGCACAGAGGACUGUGGAGUUUUAUCACUUCUUGGCAAGAGUUGUAUAUAUAUGUCAUAUAACGUGGUAGUAGCAGCUCAGCUGCCCAUUCUUCCAUUAGAUAAGGGCUAUACUUGCCUCUCUAUUGCACAGCCAGACUGCAUCCUAAAAGACUGCAUCCUAAAUGACUGCUCAGAUAGUUAUUUCUACCUGCUUUAUGGUCAGGGGCAACAAAUUCCCAGUGAUCAUACAAUGCAUGAGAAGUUUCAAAAGCAAUUUUUCUGUAGCACUGUUAAUUCUGUGGUACACAUGGAGCAAAACAUAGAUUAGAUUUCUAACAUGCAAUUUAUAAUAGCAGACAAAUAAUAAUCUUUUAUUUUCAAAGAUUUGAGAGCAAGCCAUACAAGAAUUAAAGGCUGAGCUGU